rnacentral:rRNA from 1 species
AUGUUUGUUUCUGAUCUAAAGGACGCUGAUGGGAUGGCCAAUGGGGCAGCUCCUUCUGCCUCGUUAAUUGGGAUGUAUGUAGAAAUGGGUUUCCCGAAAGAGAUGGUACUGAAGGCCGCCAAAGAGAUUGGGGAGAGGGACGAAAGUGCAUUGCUGUCACUACUUCUUGCAUAUACGGUAUUUGAAAAUGACGACUCAGUGGGUAGCUGCUCUACUUCUCGCCGCAUCCCCCAGCGCGUUGAAGAUGAAGAAGAAGAAGAAGAAGAAGAAGAUGACUGGGAUGAUGCUGUUGAUGCUGGCCAAAGGGAACCUUACUCUGAUGGUUCUGGUGACGAGGGUUUCCUAGAAGAAAUGUCACAGUGGGACAAGCAGAUCAAGUCCUUAGUGGACAUGGGAUUUCCUGAAGAUGAAGAGAAUCGCUUCAGUUCCUGCGUGGGGAGAAAGAAAGCAAGAUCCACAAAAGAUAGCAAGAAGAGGAAAAGAUACGGAGGUGGAGCACAUGGAAGUCAAUCCCCAUGGGAUGGUGGUCAUGAAGAGUCAAUUUCUCUGCCAAAGCCAAUGGUGGGAUUUGGCCUACCUGGUGACCGACCACGGUCAGUGGGCAGAUGGCUUCCUGCACAUAGUAUGAGAGCACCUUUCUUCUACUAUGAGAAUGUGGCACUUGCUACUAAAGGUGCCUGGGCAGAAAUUUCAAGAUGCCUAUAUGGUAUUGAGCCAGAGUUCGUAGACUCGAAAUACUUCUGCGCAGCGUUAAGGAAACGGGGUUACACCAUAACCUCCCAACUGAGGGAAGGGGACCAUACCAGGGGAACUAGCAAGAAAAAGAGAGAGAAAUGCCUUGGAAAUUCAUUCCAAGUCGAUACUGUUGCUUUUCAUCUGUCAGUGCUGAAGGAUAGGUUUCCAUGUGGUAUGAACGUGCUGUCCCUGUUCAGUGGUAUCGGAGGAGCAGAGGUUGCCCUUCACAAGCUUGGCAUACGGAUGAAGACCGUGGUUUCUGUGGAAAUCUGCGACGCGAGUAGGAGCAUCUUGAGAACUUGGUGGGAUCAGACCCAGGAAGGCACACUGAUAGAGUUCCGUGAUGUGCAGUCUCUCACACAUGAAAAAAUUGCAUCACUUAUCAGACAACUUGGUGGCUUUGACUUGGUGAUCGGGGGAAGCCCAUGUAACAACCUUGCUGGCAGCAACCGGCACCACCGUGUUGGCUUGGAGGGUGACCAGUCCGUGUUGUUUCGUGACUAUGUCAGAAUCUUGAACUCUGUAAAGUCGAUUAUGGCAAAUGUAGGAUGA